ensembl:lncRNA
GACAGUGACUCUACCACCUCCUUGAGCAGCCUGUGCCAGUGCCUCACUACUCUUUCGGAGAAGAUUUUUCCUAACAUCCAACCUGAACCUCCCCUGGCACAACCUGAGGCCGUUCCCUCUUGUCCUAUUGCUAUUACCUGGGAGAAGAUGCCAAUCCCCACCUCACCACAACCUCCUUUCAGGCAAUUGUAGAGAGCAAUAAGGUCUCCCCUGAGUCUUCUCUUCUCCAGACUGAACAAUCUCAGCUCUCUCAGCUGCUCCCCAUAAGAUCUGUCCUCGAGCCUCCUCACCAGGUAUGUUGUCCUUCUCUGGACACGCUCCAGGGCCUCCAUAUCCUUCUUGUAGUGAUGGGCCCCACACUGAACAUAGUACUUGAGGUGCAGCCUCACCAGUGCUGAGUACAGGGGGACAAUCACCUUCCUAGAGGUGAAGCAUGGAAAGCCACCUCCAUGUGCUACUACCUCUAGCAAGGGAACAUGACAAUGUACAUGCAGAAGACUUAGAAGAUAUGUUGAUUGAGUUCUGCAGGCACCACUUGCCCUGCACUGUGCAAUCCCUGCUCAUGUACAGAUAGGGGUUCCUGUGCCCAGCAGCAUCCACCUGCCCGUCCCACUCCCACAAGGCACACAGCAUCACACAGCAUCCAGCUUAGUGUAAAGCAGUUAGAUUGCAAGUCAGAGAGCUGAUCAGCAACAAGCGCACCUCGCCCAUGUCCUCUAGUGGCCGUAUGCUCAAUAAGAAUUACCCUCAGCAUUUCUGUAAGGAUUUGAACUGUUUGGGUUUUGUUGUUGUUGUUGUUUUUUGUUGGAUUUUGUUUGUUUGUUUGUUCCUCUUUCCAUGGGAAGCUGCUGUGUUGCAGCACAGGGUGCAGAUCUGGGCCAAGAGGUGCGUGGCUGAUGCUAGGUUUCACCCAGGUAUCAACAUGGGGCAGAGCACUGGCAGAGAGUGUGCUCCAUCCUGCUUGUCACAACUGCAGCUGGACUCUGCUUAGCUUCAGAGGCAAAUCACUACCUUUAUCAGAGAUCUCUUCUCCUUCACAUAAGAGAGAAGAUAAUAAAAAGCAAAUCAGAUACUACAUGUCAAGAAAAACAAUUUUCUCAGAGUUAUUGUUAUGGAAUGCCUCUGUGCUGUGUGAUUUGCUUCCUGAAACAUCCCUCAGGUAAAGUAUGAGGAUGUUAAAUGAUAAUAUCACAUUGCUGUGUUUCUUCAGUGUAUUUCUUGGUGAAUUUUGCAAGCUAGCUUUGGAAAAAAGUUUGAACAGUCUUGUUGACAACAAAUUUUACUUCUUUUUUUUUUCUUAAAAUAAGUAGUUUACACUGUGGUGUUUCACUUCUUCCUAUCUCUCAGAGUACCUUUUUAUUAUUAUUAAUAACAGUAUUACCAACUUUCUCUGUCCUUCUGUUAGCUAGAGAAUUGUUCUCUCCCAUGGCAACUAAG